rnacentral:rRNA from 1 species
AACGAACGCUGGCGGCAUGCCUAACACAUGCAAGUCGAACGAGACCUUCGGGUCUAGUGGCGCACGGGUGCGUAACGCGUGGGAACCUGCCCUUAGGUUCGGAAUAACUCCCCGAAAGGGGUGCUAAUACCGGAUAAUGUCUUCGGACCAAAGAUUUAUCGCCUUUGGAUGGGCCCGCGUUGGAUUAGCUAGUUGGUAGGGUAAAAGCCUACCAAGGCGACGAUCCAUAGCUGGUCUGAGAGGAUGAUCAGCCACACUGGGACUGAGACACGGCCAGACUCCUACGGGAGGCAGCAGUGGGGAAUAUUGGACAAUGGGCUAAAGCCUGAUCCAGCAAUGCCGCGUGAGUGAUGAAGGCCUUAGGGUUGUAAAGCUCUUUUACCCGGGAUGAUAAUGACAGUACCGGGAGAAUAAGCUCCGGCUAACUCCGUG